GAGGGUAUAGCUCAGUGGUAGAGACGGUGCUUACCACGCACCAGGUCUUGGGUUCAAUCCCGGUACCUCCA
rnacentral:tRNA from 1 species